UACGUAGGGUGCGAGCGUUAAUCGGAAUUACUGGGCGUAAAGCGUGCGCAGGCUGUUUUGUAAGUCAGAUGUGAAAUCCCUGAGCUCAACUUAGGAACUGCGUUUGAAACUACAAGACUAGAAUAUGUCAGAGGGGGGUAGAAUUCCACGUGUAGCAGUGAAAUGCGUAGAGAUGUGGAGGAAUACCAAUGGCGAAGGCAGCCCCCUGGGAUAAUAUUGACGCUCAUGCACGAAAGCGUGGGGAGCAAACAGG
rnacentral:rRNA from 4 species